rnacentral:rRNA from 1 species
AACGAACGCUGGCGGCAGGCCUAACACAUGCAAGUCGAACGAGAAGCCACCUUCGGGUGGUGGAAAGUGGCAGACGGGUGAGUAACACGUGGGAACGUGCCCUUUGGUUCGGAACAACUCUGGGAAACUGGAGCUAAUACCGGAUAAGCCCUACGGGGGAAAGAUUUAUCGCCGAAGGAUCGGCCCGCGUCUGAUUAGCUUGUUGGUGAGGUAAUGGCUCACCAAGGUGACGAUCAGUAGCUGGUCUGAGAGGAUGAUCAGCCACACUGGGACUGAGACACGGCCCAGACUCCUACGGGAGGCAGCAGUGGGGAUUAUUGGACAAUGGGCGCAAGCCUGAUCCAGCCAUGCCGCGUGAGUGAUGACGGCCUUAGGGUUGUAGAGCUCUUUCGCCAGGGACGAUAAUGACGGUACCUGGAUAAGAAGCCCCGGCUAACUUCGUGCCAGCAGCCGCGGUAA